UUGCUUUUUAACCUUUGUGCCUUGGCUGAAAGUUGAAUCCAAAGCCAGGCAAACUGGAGACGGAGCAGCUUCUACAUGUCACUGACAUGCUACACGUGUAUCUCUUCGGCUUGGGCGCCACCUCGCCCAUGUUGAGGUCCAAGGAUGCGAGUGUGCGUGUGUGUGUGCGGUUAGAUGCCAAGCAAAGUUGUGCAGCAUCGAAAUCUGUAAGCUGGAAACUCUGUGACAUGCAUUUAAGUUUUCGGCUGGCAUGCACAUGCAGAUUAUUAUUAGGUUGUUGCCGCUGCAGCCCGUUGCCCCUACUUCAGGCUGCCUUCGACUUUCUCCUAGCCUUACAUGAUGGAAGAGUUCGACUUUGAGGCGGUGGAUGCUCAGUGGGAAAGCCCCCCAUUUCCAUCCACACUUUGCACACUGUUCACCGCAUGUGCCCAACUGUGCAAAAGGUGAAGACGAUGUAUAGCAGAGCGGGAUGAGGUAGAGCCGGGUGGCGCG